GCUUGAUUGUCUUCUGCUGUCAAAGUAUCAGGUCUGAGGGAAGCCCUGUCACAGAAACAGUCAUUCAAGGACUAUCAUUCUGUGGCAUACUUUCUUGUGAUUCUGUGAAUAUGCAACAAAAAGGAAGAUGACUGUUGAGCAUUCAGCAUCAGAAAAAGAGAGAGAGGAGGAGGGCGAGAUAGAAAGCUAGAAGAUGACAGGUGUCUGUCAAUGAGGAACAAAAGCUUUGUGGGAUCAACAGAAAAUGAAGGAAAAGAUGAUGUUAAACUGAAACACAGUGGAGCAAACAACAAUACUUAUGGAUUUAGACAAAAACAAUGAAAGUCUUGAUGAGGACUUUUUCAAGGACUACAAACCCCCAGAAAAUGAUCUGCUCACUCCACCCAAGCAUAUCAUUUAUCUGCUGCUGGCUGUGAGCGUGACAGGAGUCACCCUUUUCGCCAUCAUAAGACACCUCAUCCAGGAUCUCAUCCAUGAUCUGGCAGAUUUCCUGUUUGGAGAGCAGCCUGUGGAAGAGCCGGAGACGUUCUGGGAACGGCGGGAUAAGUUUAGGGCAGACUGG